GUGUCACAUAAAAGGAGAGAAGGUUAGCAACUCCCCUUGACAAGGAUAGAAGAGGCUCUCAGGCCUGACAACACACAUAUGUUUAAAAAAAUUCUUUGU
rnacentral:ncRNA from 1 species